rnacentral:rRNA from 1 species
UGAGGAAUAUUGGUCAAUGGGCGAGAGCCUGAACCAGCCAAGUAGCGUGCAGGAUGACGGCCCUAUGGGUUGUAAACUGCUUUUAUGUGGGGAUAAAGUGCGUGACGUGUCAUGCAUUGCAGGUACCACAUGAAUAAGGACCGGCUAAUUCCGUGCCAGCAGCCGCGGUAAUACGGAAGGUCCGGGCGUUAUCCGGAUUUAUUGGGUUUAAAGGGAGCGUAGGCUGUCUAUUAAGCGUGUUGUGAAAUAUACCGGCUCAACCGGUGGCUUGCAGCGCGAACUGGUCGACUUGAGUAUGCAGGAAGUAGGCGGAAUUCAUGGUGUAGCGGUGAAAUGCUUAGAUAUCAUGACGAACUACGAUUGCGCAGGCAGCUUACUGUAGCAUAACUGACGCUGAUGCUCGAAAGUGCGGGUAUCAAACAGG